GGAAAGUAAUCAAACAGCAGCUUCAUUAUAGGAUUGUCCGAGUUUCCACCAGGCGAACAUCUUCUUAAAGCAGCCGUCACUCACAGUUCAGGGUGCAUGUAAAAAGCUGUGCGCACACAUGUCCCCUGGGCGUAAAUUGUCAGAAUCAGAGGAAGCCUGCUGGAUUCCCUCCACCUUUCAGCUACCUUUCUACACCUUUUCCCAUUUCAAUUUCAAAUCUCUCUUUCUUUUCAA
rnacentral:misc_RNA from 1 species